rnacentral:rRNA from 1 species
GACGAACGCUGGCGGCGUGCUUAACACAUGCAAGUCGAACGGUGAAGCGCCUUCCUUUUUGGUGGGUGUGGAUGAGUGGCGAACGGGUGAGUAACACGUGAGUAACCUGCCCCCUUCUUCUGGAUAACCGCAUGAAAGUGUGGCUAAUACGGGAUAAUCUGGGUCUGUCGCAUGAUGGGUCUGGGAAAGAUAUUGUUUCGGUGGGGGAUGGGCUCGCGGCCUAUCAGCUUGUUGGUGGGGUGAUGGCCUACCAAGGCGGUGACGGGUAGCCGGCCUGAGAGGGUGGACGGUCACACUGGGACUGAGACACGGCCCAGACUCCUACGGGAGGCAGCAGUGGGGAAUAGUGCACAAUGGGCGCAAGCCUGAUGCAGCGACGCCGCGUGAGGGAUGGAGGCCUUCGGGUUGUGAACCUCUUUCGCCAGUGAAGCAGGCCUGCCUCGUUUGUGGGUGGGUUGACGGUAGCUGGAUAAGAAGCGCCGGCUAACUACGUG